GCCUUGAAGAUCGGAGUGCUUGCACUCUGUGAAACAAGAUACAGGCUAGCGGCGGACGGGUGAGUAACACGUGGGUAACCUGCCCAAGAGAUCGGGAUAACACCUGGAAACAGAUGCUAAUACCGGAUAACAACAGAUGAUGCCUAUCAACUGUUUAAAAGAUGGUUCUGCUAUCACUCUUGGAUGGACCUGCGGUGCAUUAGCUAGUUGGUAGGGUAACGGCCUACCAAGGCGAUGAUGCAUAGCCGAGUUGAGAGACUGAUCGGCCACAUUGGGACUGAGACACGGCCCAAACUCCUACGGGAGGCAGCAGUAGGGAAUCUUCCACAAUGGACGCAAGUCUGAUGGAGCAACGCCGCGUGAGUGAAGAAGGGUUUCGGCUCGUAAAGCUCUGUUGUUGGUGAAGAAGGACAGGGGUAGUAACUGACCUUUGUUUGACGGUAAUCAAUUAGAAAGUCACGGCUAACUACGUGCCAGCAGCCGCGGUAAUACGUAGGUGGCAAGCGUUGUCCGGAUUUAUUGGGCGUAAAGCGAGUGCAGGCGGCUCGAUAAGUCUGAUGUGAAAGCCUUCGGCUCAACCGGAGAAUUGCAUCAGAAACUGUCGAGCUUGAGUACAGAAGAGGAGAGUGGAACUCCAUGUGUAGCGGUGAAAUGCGUAGAUAUAUGGAAGAACACCGGUGGCGAAGGCGGCUCUCUGGUCUGUUACUGACGCUGAGGCUCGAAAGCAUGGGUAGCGAACAGGAUUAGAUACCCUGGUAGUCCAUGCCGUANACGAUGAGUGCUAAGUGUUGGGAGGUUUCCGCCUCUCAGUGCUGCAGCUAACGCAUUAAGCACUCCGCCUGGGGAGUACGACCCGCAGGUUGAAACUCAAAGGAAUUGA
rnacentral:rRNA from 1 species